rnacentral:lncRNA from 1 species
UACAUAAGUUAAAAAAAACUGAAAUUAAUAAAAUUUUAGACUUCAAACAUUUAAUAAACAGCUCCUUAGAAUAAAUUUGAUAAAAUUACUUGAUAAGGAUAGUUACUCACAAAAACAUCAUCGAAAAUUAAAUAAUUUUAAUAUUAUAUACAAUAUAAAUUUACAAAUGAGUAUAUAACCCAUAAAAAUACUCAAUCGAAGCUUAAAGAAAUACACAACUACACAAAUGAAGUUCAACAUAGAAAAUUAAAGAAAUAAACAGGGAGGAACUAGGAAAUACCGAUCAACAUAAUCAAACAAAUUAAGUUAAUUUCUUAAGAAAAUUCUAACAAAAAGAAAAAGAACCUUUUAAAUCUAUUAAAACUACUCUCACAAACUGAUAUUUUUGGAAAACACUUCCUGAUUAUGCCCAAAAAGAUUUAUUCAAAAGCUAAGGUUAAUGAUUAAUUCUUAAGUAGUUUGUACAUUUCUUAUUCUUUAUUUCAUUUAUUUGAUUACUUGAUUUUUCCUACAAUUCAUAAUUGAGUUGCAUAAAUAAUUAAGCUUGAGGAUCAUUAAAUUCUCAAAAUAUAAAUUGUGCUAUUGCAAUUUGCUCCUCCUCCAUUACCCACAAAUAAGUACAUCAAUAAUUACUUAAAGUAUUGGGAAAAUUUUAUAUGUGAAAUAUAUCAUCGUUUACAUAAAUGGCAGAAUAGUUUAAAGACAUCGCCUCUACUAGUCAAUUAAUAAAGUAGAUAUAUUUUUCAAGGGAAGGUUCAAAGCUUGAGACCUACCUAUUCUAUGCAAGUUUUGAUAUGUUGGAUUUUAUCACCAGAAAUAAUUUUGAUAUCAAAACAAUCAUUUUUGUGUCUUUUGCCAAUUUUCAUUCGUGUCAAGGAUUAUUAGGGAAAAUAGCAUAAAAUGGCUAUUUUAAGGCCAAUUUUGAGCAAGAUAAAUAUUAUAAAAACAACAGAUAAUUGAGAAUCUCCUCCAUAGCUCUUCACAAUGAAUUAUAGAACACUCAUUGAUGCUUGGAUGAAUGAGAAAUUGGAUCUCAAAGAAUAGCCUUAGGUAUGAAAAAAAAUGAAAUAAAAAUGGCAAAUCGCAUAUUGAAAAAAUAACUAUGAACUAAAGGCCUUAUAUAUACUUACACAUGUAAUAGAUAUUAAGACUUGUAACGAUAAAGGCUCUCUCUAUGCACCCCUAUGUAGGGGUUUCAAAUCAUAGAUAAAUUUGGCUUGACUCUCGUGCGCUUACAUGUCCUUUAUAUGCAAAUGUCAUCCAAAUAUGAGACAACAAGUCUUAGUUUGAUUUUGUCAUUUUCUUUUUAUAAUGGAAUGUGAAAUUAAAUCUGAAAGUAGGAUUGGGCAAAAUCGAGUUCGGGCCAACCCGAUCGGGUUUUGGAUUGGUCGGAUAGAUAAAAAUUCAUCCAAAAUCAACCCAAACCUAUAACCCAAUCUCAUCUUAUCCAAAAUAUAUUUGAAUCAAAUCAGAUUAGGUCAAAGAAUUGGGUUGAAUUCGGUUCGGAUGAGAUUCGAAUUAGAUACAUUUCGGAUUGGGUUCAGGUUAAUCGGGUCAAUUUGGGGUGGGGUAAAAUCGAAUAAAAUAAGAUUCAGCUAAGAAAAAAAAUCAAUUAUUGCCAAUUAACAAAAAAAAAUCAAUACACAAAUUAAAAAUUUUCUUCAUUUUAUUUUUAAAAUUUAACAAUACAUAAUUACAUAUUAUUUACAAUUACCAAAAUAUCAAUUAACAAUUUCACUUUCACAUAUGAUAUGUAAUAUAUUACUAUUACAUACCAUCAAUAAUUCAAUAUCAAGGGCUCAAAAAGUCAACAGGAGAAAUUCAGGUUGCCACUUGUUGUUGGUUCGAAUAGAGCUUAAAUAAGAUUGGUGAUGGUGGAGGAUUGGAGCCUUAGAUGCGUGAAAGUGGAGCAACAGAUCUGGUCACGAUCCUCGCAGAGCAGAUUCGGUUGGUGUCGGUGCUCUGUGGUUGCUGCAUCUGGUAGGCAGCUGCUUCUUGCUUUUCCUAUGUGCAUGUGUGUGGAAAACCGCGAACUCUGUGUGUGUUUGACAGUUAGUGUUUCGUGUGUUUGAGAUGAGAAGUUGUUAAGUUGAGGAAGGUUAUGAGUGCGGCUGUUGGUAGUGGACUAUUGGGGAGGCUGUGCUGUCGGCAGUAAGCUGCGAAAAAAGCUACGGGUGUGGCCGUAUAGCUGUCAGCAGUGGCUGCUGCAUGCAUUAUUAUUGUGUUUGUUUGUAAAUUGUAAUUCUCUGUGUGUACGGUGUGUAAGUCUUUAGGCAUAGGUUUUGAUUUUCACUUUUCAAUUUCUAAAUUUUUUUUUAAGGCCAACCCGAUCGGGUUUUUGAAUCAGAUCGAGUGACCAAUUCGAUCGGGUUGGCACAAAUGCAUCUAAUCAGAUUUCAUUAACAAUCCAAUCCGAUCUGAACUUGAUAUUUUUUAGAUCGGGUUGGAUAUUUUGCCCAGCCUUAUCAGAAAGUGUAAUAGCUAAAUUAAUUAGAAGCUACAAUAUCUGCUGCUACAGAAAUUGAACAAGCAUAACAGUAAGAAUUAAAAAGCCAUUAUUGCUGGUGAAAAAUCAGUUUUUAUAAAUUAAAAAAAAAAUUUUAGGAUCGCUCCCAUAUAAUAUAUAAGAAUUUGUAAUCUAGAAAUCGUAUCUUGAAAAUCCGAUUUGGCUUGUCCGUUGAAGUGAAACUAGGCUCCCAGAUCACGAUUCGCCACCAUCACGUCUGUUAGAUCACGAUCUGUCACCACCACGCUUGUUAGAUCACGAACUGUCACCAAUGAUCUUCCAGGAUAAGGUUUGAUCUGCACUUGACCUGUGGGCGCCUUUAUCACCACUAAAGCAACUAGCACGAGAAAAUUUUUCUCUCAAGAUUAGAAAGAAAAAUCUUUUUCUUUGAUCUGUAUAAGGUGACUGCUCUCUUUUUUUUAUAGAGAAAAUAAGCCCUUUUAUAUUUCUAUCUAGUGGAAACCCCAGGCUCCAUAUUUAUUUAUUUAUUAAUUCUAUUAAAUCCAUUUUGAUUUAAAUUAAAAAAUAAUUAAAACAAAAGUCACGUUACUUGUUCUUGUGUUAUAGGGGCCCGCCUUGUAAAAUAACACAAGGCCCCUUACACUCAAGCAUAUUAAUGAAGUCUCCCACUAAAUAAUAUAUUUAGGUUUUUGACCCAAAUAACUAGUUAUCUUGCUUAUUAAUCCAGUAGUGGUGCAGUCAAUUAAAUGAGCUAACCCGGGGAUCAUUUGGGAACAUACAAUAGUGGCUACAAUAAUUAGGCCUAUAAUUAAAUUAUCCCAAUUAUUUAAUUCCAAAUCUACUCCACUAAAAGAUUGGAACUGACCUCCAUAAUUAUAUGCUCGAAUAAUAAUUCGUCCCAAGCCACAUUGAUUUCUUUACUGCAUAAUCCUUUGUAUCACAUCAUUAAUUAAAUUGAUAUCUCAACUGUCCAAUCAAUUUAAUUACAUCUUGUUCCUUGAUUCUUACUGGUUUUCUCUAAUGAUCAUUUUCAACAUACUCAAUAUGUUGACACACUCUGACCAGAGAAUUCUAUGAUCAAGUGUCAAAAACCCAUCAAGAGAUGUGUUGUACAAAUUCUAUAUUGUCAAUCUAUAAUUCCAAUACUCAUAAUUGCUCCCACCAAGAUACCGGGUAAUCUUGACUACAAGUAUGUGUCGUGCCCAUUGGUAACUCAAAUGAAAUAAUAAUUACAAUCAUGAAAUCAUAAUUAACUCAAGAUUAAGAUUACAGUAAAUUAUGAUUUCAUGAUUGUAAUUAUUAUUUCAUUUGAGUUACCAAUGGGCACGACACAUAAUUGUAGUCAAGAUUACCCGGUAUCUUGGUGGGAGUAAUUAUGAGUAUUGGAGUUAUAGAUUAACAAUAUAGAAUUUGUACAACACAUCUCUUGAUGGGUAUUCGGUACUUAAUCAUAGAAUUCUCUAGCGAGAGUGUGUCAACAUAUUUAGUAUGUUGAAAAUAAUCAUUAGAGAAAACUAGUAAGUAUCAAUUAACAUGAUGUAAUUAAAUUGAUUGGACAGUUAAGAUAUCGAUUUAAUUAAUGAUGUGGUACAAUGGAUCAUGCAGUAAAGAAAUCAAUGUGGUAUGGGUCGAAUUAUUAUUUGAGAACACUAUCCUGGAUAGCAUAUAAUUAUGUAGGUCAGUUCCAAUCUUUUAAUGUAGUAGAUUUGGAAUUAAAUAAUUGGGCUAGUUUAAUUACAUGCUUAAUUAUUUUAGCCACUAUUGUAUGUACCCAAAUGAUCCCUAGGUUAGCUCAUUUAAUUGAUUUUGCCGCUAUUGGAUUAAUAAGCAAGAUAACUAGCGAUUUAGGUUAAAAACCUAAAUAUAUCAUUUAGUGGGAGACUCUAUAUAAUAUACUUGUGUCUAAGGGGCCUUGUAUUAUUUUACAAGGUGGGCCCCUAUGACAAGAAGAAGUAACGUUACUUUUGGUUUUAUUAUUUUUUAAUUUAAAUCAAAUUUGAUUUAAUAGAAUUAAAAAAUAUAAAAAUAUUAAAGCCUAGGGUUUCCACUAAGAUAGAGAUAUAAAAUGAUUUAUUUUCUCCCAAAAGAAAAAAAGAAGCCACAUUAUACAGAUCAGAGAAAAAAAAAAUUUCUCUAAUUUUGAGAGAACAAUUUUCUCCUUCUAGUUGCUUUUAGUGGUGAUAAAGGUGCCUACACAGUAAGUGCAGAUCAAACCUAAGUCAUAAUCUGGAAGAUCAUUGGUGACGGAUUGUGAUCUAACAAGCGUGGUGGUGACGGAUCGUGAUCUAACAAGCGUGGUGGUGACGGAUCGUGAUCUAACAAGCGUGGUGGUGACGGAUCGUGAUCUAACAAGCGUGGUGGUGACAGAUCGUGAUCUAACAAGUGUGGUGGUGACAGAUCGUGAUCUGGGAGCCUAGAUUAAUUCAGCGAAAAAGUCAAAUCGGAUUGUCAAGAUAUGAUUUUCUAGAUUACGAAUUCUUA